UUUUCAUAGGCCUAAAAAAAGAGAGUAAAGAAAACUAUCUUUUGUAACCAAAAAAAAAAAAACAACCACCGAACAUGUCGAAGGCUUACUUCACCAUAAUCUUCUUCGCUCUCUUGAUCACAAUGUCUCAUGUGACAUGCACAAGGGAGAUUGAAGAGAUUAGAUCUUACAAGAAAUGCACGACGGAUAAAGACUGCGAAAUUUAUCAUUGCUUUGUUGGUCCAACUGUUUGUGUUGAGGGCUUUUGCAAAUGUGAUUUUGAAGCUAAAACCUCGGGAGGAUACUGAAACCGUUUUACCAUUUCGUUGUCCUAAUCGCUCUAAAUAAAUAAAUAUAUCAGCAUCGUCUUAAUCCCAAGUUUAUUUGAGAU